rnacentral:misc_RNA from 13 species
GAUCAUCUUCAGGGCCUUGUGUUGUCUGCAUUUCUGCAAAAAGGUUCUCUGAUUGAUAGCCGAUGCAAGUUUCUUCUCAUUGACAUCGCCAACAAUGAGAAGAAACCUGCAUCGGCUAUCAAUCAGAGAACCUUUUUGCAGAAAUGCAGACAACACAAGGCCCUGAAGAUGAUCU